AAGACCUUGCGCUUUUGGAGCGGCCGAUGUCUGAUUAGCUUGUUGGUGAGGUAAAAGCUUACCAAGGCUUCGAUCAGUAGCUGGUCUGAGAGGACGGCCAGCCACACUGGGACUGAGACACGGCCCAGACUCCUACGGGAGGCAGCAGUGGGGAAUUUUGGACAAUGGGGGCAACCCUGAUCCAGCCAUGCCGCGUGAGUGAAGAAGGCCUUCGGGUUGUAAAGCUCUUUCAGCCGGAACGAAACGGUUGCGGUUAAUACCUGUGACUACUGACGGUACCGGAAGAAGAAGCACCGGCUAACUACGUGCCAGCAGCCGCGGUAAUACGUAGGGUGCAAGCGUUAAUCGGAAUUACUGGGCGUAAAGCGUGCGCAGGUGGUUUUGUAAGUCAGAUGUGAAAUCCCCGGGCUUAACCUGGGAACU
rnacentral:rRNA from 1 species